UACAUAGGGGGCAAGCGUUGUCCGGAAUUAUUGGGCGUAAAGCGCGCGCAGGAGGUUAAUUAAGUUGGGUGUUUAAGCCCGGGGCUCAACCCCGGUUCGCAUCCAAAACUGGUUGACUUGAGUGUAGGAGAGGAAAGUGGAAUUCCACGUGUAGCGGUGAAAUGCGUAGAGAUGUAGAGGAACACCAGUGGCGAAGGCGACUUUCUGGCCUAUAACUGACGCUGAGGCGCGAAAGCGUGGGGAGCGAACAGG
rnacentral:rRNA from 1 species